AUGAGGGAAAUUGUGCACAUCCAAGCCAGUCACUGUGGCAACCAGAUCGGUGCCAAGUUCUGGGAGGUGAUCAGUGAUGAACACGGCAUCGACCCACCAGCACCUACCACAGGGACAGCGACCUGCAGCUGGACCGCAUCUCCGUGUACUACAAUGAAGCCACAGGUGGCAAAUAUGUUCCUCGUGCCAUCCUGGUGGAUCUAGAACCUGGGAUCUAGAACCUGUUUACGCAGGUCAUUUUGGCCAGAUCUUUAGACCAGACAACUUUCUUUUUGAUCUGUCUGGGGCAGGCAACCACUGGGCCAAAGGCCACUACACACAGGUUUAUUCGUUCCUGGAUGUGGUAUGGAAGGAGGCGGAGAGCUGUGACUGCCUGUAGGGCUUCCAGCUGACUCACUCACUUGGCUGGGACACAGGCUCUGGAAUCGGCACUCUCCUUAUCAGCAAGAUCCAAGGAGAGUAUCCUGACUGCUUCAUGAACACCUUCAGUGUGGUACCUUCCUACAAGGUAUAUGACACUGCGGUCGAGCCCUACAAUUCUCCAUUCAUCAGUUGGUAGAGAACACCGAUGAGACCUAUUGCAUUGACAACGAGGCCCUCUAGGAUAUCUGCUUCCACACUCUGAAGCUGACCACACCAACCGACUGGGAUCUGAACUACGUCGUCUCAGCCACCAUGAGAGGUGUCACCGCCUGCCUCCACUUCCCCGGCCAGCUCAGUGCUGACCUCCACAAGUUGGCAGUCAAUAUGGUUCCCUUCCCAUGUCUCGAUUUCUUUAUGCCUGCCUUUGCCCCUUUCACCAGCCGUGGGAGCCAGUACUAGCAAGCUCUCACAGUGCCCAAACUCACCCAGCAGGUCUUCGAUGCCAAAAACAUGAUGGCUGCCUGUGACCCCCGCCACGGCCGACACCUCACCAUGGCUGCUGUCUCCCGUGGUCGGAUGUCCAUGAAGGAGGUCGAUGAGCAGAUGCUCAACAUGCAGAACAAGAACAGCAGCUACUUUGUGGAAUGGAUCCCCAACAACAUCAAGACAGCUGUCUGUGACAGCCGCCUCAUGGCCUCAAGAUGGCUGUCACCUUCAUCAGUAACAGCACUGGCAUCCAGGAGCUCUUCAAGCGCAUCUCAGAGCAGUUCACUGCCAUGUUCCACCAGAAGGCCUUCCUCCACUGGUACACAGGCGAGGGCACGGACGAGAUGGAGUUCACUGAGGCUGACAGCAACAUGAACGACCUCAUCACUGAGUAUCAGCAGUACCAGGACGCUACCACAGAAGAGGAGGAGGAUUUCAGUAAGGAGGCUGAAGAAGAGGCCUAAGGCAGAGGCCCCCCAUCACCCUAGGCUUCUCAGUUCCCCUUAGUUGUCUUACUCAACUGCUCCUUUCCUCUCCCUCAGAAUUUGUGUUUGCUGUUUCUAUCUUGUGUUUUGUCUUUUUCUCUUCUGGGGGGUCUAGAAUGGUGCCUGGCACAUAGUAGGUGCUCAAUAAACACUUGUUU